UACGUAGGGGGCAAGCGUUGUCCGGAUUUAUUGGGCGUAAAGAGCGUGUAGGCGGCCAGACAGGUCCGUUGUGAAAACUCGAGGCUCAACCUCGAGACGCCGAUGGAAACCGUUUGGCUAGAGUCCGGAAGAGGAGAGUGGAAUUCCUGGUGUAGCGGUGAAAUGCGCAGAUAUCAGGAAGAACACCCGUGGCUAAGGCGGCUCACUGGCUCAUUACUGACGCUCAGGCGCGAUAGCGUGGGGAUCAAACAGG
rnacentral:rRNA from 1 species